GACAGAGGGUGCAAACGUUUGUUCGGAAUUACUGGGCGUAAAGCGCGUGUAGGUGGCGAGGCAAGUCGGGUGUGAAAGCCCUGGGCUCAACCCAGGAAGUGCACUCGAUACUGCCUAGCUAGAGUCCCGGAGAGGUUGGUGGAACUCUCGGUGUAGAGGUGAAAUUCGUAGAUAUCGAGAAGAACACCGGUGGCGAAGGCGGCCAACUGGACGGUGACUGACACUGAGACGCGAAAGCGUGGGGAGCAAACAGGG
rnacentral:rRNA from 1 species